rnacentral:rRNA from 1 species
AUGCAGAUGGUGUCCUAUGGGCGUAUCGCAGUUAACAUUAAUGGGGAUAUCGGGCCCUACUUCCCCACUCUCUGUGGGGUUAGGCAAGGGGCCCUUUCUCCCCCUUUUUUGUUUAACAUGGUGGUGGACGCCCUAGCUACCAUCCUUGACAAGGCCAAGGCCGCGGGCCAUUUUCGCGGCGUAGUGCCACACUUAGUGGGAGGGGGUGGGGUCUCCCUCCUACAAUAUGAUGACAACCCCAUCAUCAUGGUGGAAGGAUCUAAGGCCGAUAUCACAAAUGUGAAAUUCCUCCUCCUAUGCUUUCAAUAG